UGUGAAUUUUCUCAUCUCAUCCUCCUAACAAUCUCAUACUCUAGGUAACAAUAGCAUCUCCAGUUUCCAGACUAAAGAAAAAGUUGCAGAGAGGGUCAAUGACUUACCAAGUCAUAUAGCUGCCAAAUGGCUCAGCUGUUGUGUGACCCCAGGGCAGUCAAUCCUCCAAAACUCUCUACCUGGUUGUUUUCUACAAUGGGUUGGCUCAGAAGGAGAACUUACUUUGACUACCACCACUUAGGCUCCAUUGGUAGAGUCCUCCUCCUGACCCUUGCAUAUUUCCUUGUCUUUCAGCUUUGUCCUACCCUUAAUUCAUUGGUCUCCAACCUGGAUCUGCAGCUGGUCAAUAAUCUGAUUAAUCUGAUACUGGAUCGUGCGAACGUUGACCUCAGCGUCUAAGUAUACCCAAAGUGAAGGAGCCACAUUUGUAUCAAUUUGAGUCAGGUCCUGCAUACUGGUCUCCUUCCUGGAAUGCCCUCCACACUGCGGGCCACCAUUUACGUAGAUAUUCCUGUCGAUUAUUCAACUACUGCCUGGAGUUUCAUUACCCGCCCUGGACUCAAAGAUCCUCUACUUUCCUGGCUAUGGAGGCUGUUUCCCUGUAAAUCUUCUCCAGAAUCCCUGUACUGAUUCCCUGUAAUCUUAACAUAAUAAAUUUCUGCAGCCCUGAAAUGUGGACUUUCCU
rnacentral:lncRNA from 1 species